rnacentral:rRNA from 1 species
AUUGAACGCUGGCGGCAUGCCUUACACAUGCAAGUCGAACGGUAACAGGUUAAGCUGACGAGUGGCGAACGGGUGAGUAAUAUAUCGGAACGUGCCCAGUCGUGGGGGAUAACGUAGCGAAAGCUACGCUAAUACCGCAUACGAUCUACGGAUGAAAACGGGGGAUCGCAAGACCUCGCGCGAUUGGAGCGGCCGAUAUAAGAUUAGGUUGUUGGUGAGGUAAAAGCUCACCAAGCCUGCGAUCUGUAGCUGGUCUGAGAGGACGACCAGCCACACUGGAACUGAGACACGGUCCAGACUCCUACGGGAGGCAGCAGUGGGGAAUUUUGGACAAUGGACGCAAGUCUGAUCCAGCAAUGCCGCGUGCAGGACGAAGGCCUUCGGGUUGUAAACUGCUUUUGUACGGAACGAAACGGUGAGCUCUAAUACAGUUUGCUAAUGACGGUACCGUAAGAAUAAGCACCGGCUAACUACGUGCCAGCCGCCGCGGUAA